AGAGAAAUAGGGCGACAUGAGAGGCAGAUGAGGCCCAAUGCCCUAGAGAGCCAGAAGUUCCUUUGAAAAACUCCUGUUUGGAAUGAUCCCCCUAUUUUCAGCAGAAGAAGUGAACUCACUCUCAGCCCUCUGCAGAUACAUAGGGGAGUCUGCCAUGGAUGUUACCUUCCAGGGUCUCUGGCUUAUUCCUGGCAUAUUCUCACUGCCACUCCAGAGUUACAUCUCAGCCCACCCUUAGUAGAAUUCCUUCAACCCAAGCACUGGUGGGAGUUGGCAGCCUAACCCAUGCUCAGUAUCCUUGACAUAUCUUUCAACAAGAAACACAUUUUUCUGAAUAUCUUGAUGAGGCAAAUAUUACCUGGGAAUACUUUUUCACUUAAAAAUACUGAAAAGAAUUAGGCAUUAACAAUAUUUCAGACUCCAUGUAAGGUACUGGUGUUGUGUUCCAUAUAGAUCUUACAGGAGCUGGUCAUUUCUGUUUGUUUCUCUUUAUGUUUCCAUCUUCUCUCCUGUCCCUUCUUGUAUUCCCAAAUUGGCCUGUGGUGGUUUAUAACAAGCAGAGGCAAAACUAAUAGGAAAUGAGAAAGAGAGAGUCAUGACUAGAGGAGACAUCAAUAAAAACAGGAAGAAGAUCCCAAACAUCCAGGCAAUGUGGCUGUUAGAUUUGCUCUGACAUUUGGCUUUGGGUUUUCUGAUAAUCAAACCAGAUAGAAAGACCCAAGAGCCUUUUUUGGGAAGGAGGAAGUAUCUCAAUUCCUUAGGGAAGGCAAAAUUGUUUUUAGCACUAAGUUCUGAAAAACUUUUUCAUUGUGGUGCUUUAUAUAAAGGACAUCAAAUGAGGCAGUAGACAAUGCCUUGACUUGAUAUGACUGUCUCUUAUCUUUAGAUAAUAGUGAUGUAUCUUAAAAUACACUCUAAGGGAAAUGAUUCUGCAAGGACUGACCACCCAUUGCCAACAAAAUGAAAACUGCUAUACCAAAUGAAUUGUAUCCACCAGAUGCCUGCAUCCAAGGGAAGGGGUUGAAUCCACUCAGUCUGUCCUUGGGAAGAGUCCAUACUCACUGUCAGCACUCUCUUCAUCAUCUGAGCACUGCUUUUUGGCCCCAAUUUUUUUUUUGUCUCAUUUUUGGUGUCUUGUAUUCAGCCAGCUGUUUUUAUUAACCCUCAUA